CUUCCAAAUGAAACACGAGCUUCUUCUUCUCUCCGUAGCACGAGCUACUUUUCUCUCCGUGGCUACUUCUGCUUCUUCCGCCGCUGCCGCCGUUGCGUCGCCCAAUCUCUCUCUGUCAUCCCUUGCGUCGCACGAGAUCCCUCCGCCGCCGCUCUCAUCGCUUCUACUCCAUCGUCGCAGAGCUCUCUCUGUUGCCGCUCUCAUCGCAUCUGCUCCCUCUGGCGCCUCUUCCAUCUAAUCUCAACUCGCUCUUUCAGUUCUUCUCGUAACCAUCUCAAAUUUCAGGUUUUCUCUGAAGAAAGGUGGAAGGGAUGGUGAUGAUGGUACUGAAGAAGUGACUGUUUUAAUGUUGGUAGAGAAGUCCACGCUUCAAAGGGCUUCAUUGGUAGAGAAGUCCAGGCAGAAGCCACCAGAGAGGAUGAGGGUUUUAUCUGAUGCACUAAAAACCAGUAACUAUGGUUCUGAACCUAUGCUUCAAAAUUGUGGAAUUUCUAUAAGCACCGGCUUUACUCAAGUGGAUGGUCAUG